AACGAACGCUGGCGGCAUGCCUAACACAUGCAAGUCGAACGAGAUCCUUCGGGGUCUAGUGGCGCACGGGUGGGUAACGCGUGGGAAUCUGCCCUUAGGUUCGGAAUAACAGUUAGAAAUGACUGCUAAUACCGGAUGAUGACGUUAAGUCCAAAGAUUUAUCGCCUGAGGAUGAGCCCGCGUAGGAUUAGCUAGUUGGUGUGGUAAAGGCGCACCAAGGCGACGAUCCUUAGCUGGUCUGAGAGGAUGAUCAGCCACACUGGGACUGAGACACGGCCCAGACUCCUACGGGAGGCAGCAGUGGGGAAUAUUGGACAAUGGGCGCAAGCCUGAUCCAGCAAUGCCGCGUGAGUGAUGAAGGCCUUAGGGUUGUAAAGCUCUUUUACCCGGGAUGAUAAUGACAGUACCGGGAGAAUAAGCCCCGGCUAACUCCGUG
rnacentral:rRNA from 1 species